rnacentral:lncRNA from 1 species
UGAAUCUCUUGGAUCAUAUUAAAAUGCAGAUUCUGUUCCAGUUUUUAGACCAUUUGGCUUGCUGAAUUCAACACCUCUUCCAAUGCCUGCUUCUCCCAAAGAAUCUACUCACAGAAAGAGUUAAAGAGAAAUGUAGACUUUACUAAAUAUUUCAUAGAGGAGACCUAGGAGGAGGUUGACACAGCACACUGCUCAGCAGAUGACUUAAAAUUUUCCCUUAGCCAUUUUUGUUCUCUCAAGUCCCUUUCAUCCAUACCACCACUGCUGAUUUGUUCUUUCUUUUUUUCUUUUAAAUCUUUUCUAGCUUUCCUUCUGACAAACUUUGCUGGAGUCCUACUCCUUUUCUCUCCUUCUUGAGAAAAAUGCAAAUUUUGCUCCAUGUUUUGGUAUAGCAGGGAAGCUUCCAUCUUUUUUUACUGAAGCAUAACAUCAGGGCCUACAUUCCAUCUCAAACGGCUUGUCAAGGUCCUUCCACAAAUAAGAUGUUCCUCCAAAGAUGAUGUACAGAUGCCAAGUUGGAUAUAGCUAGAGAAAUCUCAUGGCUACCCCAAUCAGGAGAGAGGUUGCUGUUUCUCAGAAGUCCUCCUCCCCACUUCCAGGGUCAUCAUUGUCUCUCAACAACUUUGUGGGGAUAUAAAAACCCUCGCGGAACUGGUUUUCUGAGAGGUGUUUGAAGCAGGAAUAUAUUAUGCAGGGGAUGGAGCAGCCAUUCCCUGGCUAGAUGACCACAUCACUGUUGCACACUGAUUGUUUGCUAAAGGCACAAUGCUUUCCUGACCAGAAAUGAAAAAUGCCUGCUGCUCAAUUAUUGUCAAUCUAACUGGAAUAGAGUCAGGCCUCGUCAGAUGGUUUCCCAAACACCCAGAUGGUCUCUUAGAUUCUGGAUGGUCAGUGUGGUAGUUCUUUCCAUUACAUCCUUGAGAUCCUGCUGUUCACACCAUUCAGCAGGGCACCCUGAACCUUGUCCCCAUAUUCUGGCUCUGCUGAGAUGAGAUGCAGUCAGGUGUUACUAGUGUCUUCAAUUAUAUACUGGGGUAGGGGGGCCUUAUUUUGGUUGGAGAGCUUCCAAAAUUGUGUCUGGAAUCUCAGUUCCCAGGGUCUGGUCUUCUGAGAUGGAAGAGGUUUUGAAGCAAUUCAAACCCAGUCCUUUCAUUUUCUAGACUUGGAUCCUGAGUUCCAGGGAGGGGAAGGUAUAGUGAAUUCUUAUAAUUUUAUGUUGCCUUGGCAACCAUUUUGUAUACAAGUUUAAUUUCUC